CAGGAGCCCUCCGUGGCAGUGCUUGGGUGUCCAGGCUCUGAGGCUAAGGCCUCAUCUCUCCUCGGGGUCGAAGGGAACGUCUCCGGAUACCAGGAGUCACAGUGGGCCAACCAUGAUGAUGAAACCCCAGGCGGAGACGGGGGAAGCAGCACGGGAUCCCAGCCUCAGGCCUUCACGGACGGUGAUGGUUGGGGAGAGCAGCGGAUCCACGCCAGAGAAGACGCUUGUAUAUUUUCACGGCUCUUCUCUGAGAAAUGAAGCCACUCCAUGAUACAGUCAGCUAGAGGAAGCCGGGAAUGGGAGAUGGCAACAAUCCCUAUCACUGGAACGCUGGCCUCUCUGGACAAGCCACCCUUUUGGAACCCCACCCCUUACGCCCGUGGCGGUGGCACGGUGCUGAACAGUGGUUUCCUCUAGGAAUGAAAUGGGAUGAUGGAAGACCUGGGGAGCCGUGUCAGGAGGAGACACUCAUGAUGCGCCUUUUGGCCAUAGUCACUGUCAUGGCUAAGAAAGCAACUCCAACCCACACACUGCAAAUAUGAAGGACCACGAAAGGCACGCA